rnacentral:rRNA from 1 species
UGCACGCUGGCGGCGUGCCUACUACAUGCAAGUCGAGCGAACGGACGCGAAGCUUGCUUCUCUGAUGUUAGCGGCGGACGGGUGAGUAACACGUGGAUAACCUACCUAUAAGACUGGGAUAACUUCGGGAAACCGGAGCUAAUACCGGAUAAUAUUUUGAACCGCAUGGUUCAAAAGUGAAAGACGGUCUUGCUGUCACUUAUAGGUGGAUCCGCGCUGCAUUAGCUAGUUGGUAAGGUAACGGCUUAUCAAGGCAACGAUGCAUAGCCGACCUGAGAGGGUGAUCGGCCACACUGGAGCUGAGACACGGUCCAGACUCCUACGGGAGGCAGCAGUAGGGAAUCUUCCGCAAUGGGCGAAAGCCUGGCGGAGCAACGCCGCGUGAGUGAUGAAGGUCUUCGGAUCGUAAAGCUCUGUUAUUAGGGAAGAACAUAUGUGUAAGUAACUGUGCACAUCUUGACGGUACCUAAUCAGAAAGCCACGGCUAACUACGUG